rfam:Rattus norvegicus chromosome 14, whole genome shotgun sequence.
UCAAAGGUUCCUAUGGGAACCACAAAUAGUAUUGAACCUUAUCUAU